rnacentral:rRNA from 1 species
AGUGAACGCUGGCGGCAGGCCUAACACAUGCAAGUCGAGCGGCAGCACGGGUAGCAAUACCUGGUGGCGAGCGGCGGACGGGUGAGGAAUACAUCGGAAUCUGCCUUGUUGUGGGGGAUAACGUAGGGAAACUUACGCUAAUACCGCAUAAGACCGAGAGGUGAAAGCGGGGGAUCGAAAGACCUCGCGCGACAAGAUGAGCCGAUGUCGGAUUAGCUAGUUGGCGGGGAAAGGCCCACCAAGGCGACGAUCCGUAGCUGGUCUGAGAGGAUGAUCAGCCACACUGGAACUGAGACACGGUCCAGACUCCUACGGGAGGCAGCAGUGGGGAAUAUUGGACAAUGGGCGCAAGCCUGAUCCAGCCAUGCCGCGUGGGUGAAGAA